UUAAUUAUUCCAAGGCCACUUGAUCCAACACCCUCCAUUCUCAAUUCAUGAAUUUGCUCCUUUCCUUUGUCUGAAAUAUUCUGUUUCAUAGUCAAAUUUUUUCUUUGCCAUCAAUUUUUCUCCCUCAUGGUAUUUCUAAUUUCCACCUUACUAGGAAUUGAUUUUAUUCACUUUUCUUUUUUCUCUUCUAUUAGCGUGCAUGCUUUCAUGUGAUAUUGUUAGAGGCAUAAGAGCAACAAUAAGUUUAUAUAGUUGCAACAAUAGGUUUGCUGGAGAGAAUUACUUAAAUAUUUGGAGUUAGUAAGGAUAGGGGCCUCCCUUUGUAAAGGGGAAACACUUGGAAGAGAAAUUUUCUAUCCUUGUUUUUGCCAGUUUCAUUCAAUCAUUAGAAAUCAUCAUUUCUUUUACUCAAUCAUUCAGAAAUUCCUAUUGGAUAUGCUUCCAUUAGCUACUGUCAAAAUCAUCUCGCAUAUGUUUUUAUUUUCAGCAUUGGUUUGCUACUACUACCUUGUGCUGUUAAACAUUCAACUUUAGGGUCUGCCUUUUGUUGUUAAGCCUCUGUUUGGCAUAAACAUUAUUAUUCUUGUUAAUUGUGAUAUUAAUUGGUGGUCCAAAGAGUCCCGAUAGAGUGUAAGAAGUUACAUUAUUUAUACUUGUAAGAAAUUGCCUCACUUUUAUUACAUUUUGUAGGAAAUGUUGAAUGUGCCCCCCUCAAAUGUUGGACCAUUUAUAUCAUGUCAACAACAUAUGAUUGUUGUGCUUGCAAGGUACCUCAUCCUUCGAACAGAAGCAAAACCAGGUCAAACAAAAAAAAAAGCCAUUCUGCAUCGGUUCUUUAAGGGGAACCUUCGUAGAAUGGUGGAAAUUCAAAGGCGGUCAUGUCUCAAGGAUCGUUGUAGAUUGAUAGGAAUUCUACAUCGAUUCUUCAAGCACAACCGUCGUAGACUGAUAAGAAUUCCACAUCGGUCAUCCUGAGCUGACCAUCAUUGACUGUGGUCCAUUCUACGACGGUCGUGUUUGAGAUGACCGUUGUAGAAUAGACAUCAUUCUACAUCAGUCUUCAGAUACGAACGUCAUAGAACAGACAACAGUCAACGACGGUCCCUUCUGGAUGAUCAAUGUAGAAUAAUGUCUAUUCUAUGACGGUCAUCUCAGAACGCCCAAUGUGAAAAUAUGGCACUUCUAAGACGGUAUUAACAACCGUCAUAGAAUAGGUGACCCCUUAUUACGACGUCCCGUACUACAACGGUUGUCAACCGAUGUAGUAUGCCCCACAGAACCAAUGUGGAAUCCGCUUUCUGUAGUAGUGAACCAUGGUAAUAUAAUAUUCUGCAUUCAAAUUGUAAGACAUUCAAUUUCUUAAAUCUAUAAAAAAAUAUUAGUAACA